rnacentral:rRNA from 1 species
UCAGUCGUAAACUUUAACUUACAUCUUUCUCCUCGCCAGGGAACUACGAGCUAAGCUUAAAACCCAAAGGACUUGACGGUACCCCAUAUCCCCCUAGAGGAGCCUGUCCUAUAAUCGAUAACCCCCGUUUUACCUCACCAUUUUUUGUUAAUCAGCCUGUAUACCUCCGUCGUCAGCUUACCACGUGAGCGUGUGAGCUAAAUGUUUUUUCAACCACACGUCAGGUCAAGGUGCAGCAAAUAAAAUGGAAAGAGAUGGGCUACACUCUCUAUUCUAGAAUAAACAAAAGACUAAAAAUGAAACCCGGUCAGAAGGCGGAUUUAGCAGUAAAAUGAAACUAGAGCGUUCAUUUAAACAUGGCAC